UCCCAGGUGGCUCAGUGGUAAAGAAUCUGCCUGCCAAUGCAGGAGACCCAGGUUUGAUCCCUGGAUUGGGAA
rnacentral:tRNA from 1 species